rnacentral:rRNA from 1 species
AGACCCGAAACCCGGUGAUCUAGCCAUGGGCAGGUUGAAGGUUGGGUAACACUAACUGGAGGACCGAACCGACUAAUGUUGAAAAAUUAGCGGAUGACCUGUGGCUGGGGGUGAAAGGCCAAUCAAACCGGGAGAUAGCUGGUUCUCCCCGAAAGCUAUUUAGGUAGCGCCUCGUGAAUUCAUCUCCGGGGGUAGAGCACUGUUUCGGCUAGGGGGCCAUCCCGGCUUACCAACCCGAUGCAAACUGCGAAUACCGGAGAAUGUUAUCACGGGAGACACACGGCGGGUGCUAACGUCCGUCGUGAAGAGGGAAACAACCCAGACCGCCAGCUAAGGUCCCAAAGUCAUGGUUAAGUGGGAAACGAUGUGGGAAGGCCCAGACAGCCAGGAUGUUGGCUUAGAAGCAGCCAUCAUUUAAAGAAAGCGUAAUAGCUCACUGGUCGAGUCGGCCUGCGCGGAAGAUGUAACGGGGCUAAACCAUGCACCGAAGCUGCGGCAGCGAACGUAUCACUUAAAGCGAUUCAGCGGGUUACGAUUGACGGAGCGAAGCGACGUCAAAGCGUAUACAAAGUCGAGUCGGUUUAAGGAUACGUUCGUUGGGUAGGGGAGCGUUCUGUAAGCCUGCGAAGGUGGCCUGUGAGGGUUGCUGGAGGUAUCAGAAGUGCGAAUGCUGACAUAAGUAACGAUAAAGCGGGUGAAAAGCCCGCUCGCCGGAAGACCAAGGGUUCCUGUCCAACGUUAAUCGGGGCAGGGUGAGUCGACCCCUAAGGCGAGGCCGAAAGGCGUAGUCGAUGGGAAACGGGUUAAUAUUCCCGUACUUGGUGUUACUGCGAAGGGGGGACGGAGAAGGCUAUGUUGGCCGGGCGACGGUUGUCCCGGUUUAAGCGUGUAGGUGUGUGUUCCAGGUAAAUCCGGUUCACUUUAACACUGAGGCGUGAUGACGAGGCACUACGGUGCUGAAGCAACAAAUGCCCUGCUUCCAGGAAAAGCCUCUAAGCAUCAGGUAACAUCAAAUCGUACCCCAAACCGACACAGGUGGUCAGGUAGAGAAUACCAAGGCGCUUGAGAGAACUCGGGUGAAGGAACUAGGCAAAAUGGUGCCGUAACUUCGGGAGAAGGCACGCUGACACGUAGGUGAAGUGAUUUACUCAUGGAGCUGAAGUCAGUCGAAGAUACCAGCUGGCUGCAACUGUUUAUUAAAAACACAGCACUGUGCAAACACGAAAGUGGACGUAUACGGUGUGACGCCUGCCCGGUGCCGGAAGGUUAAUUGAUGGGGUCAGCGCAAGCGAAGCUCCUGAUCGAAGCCCCGGUAAACGGCGGCCGUAACUAUAACGGUCCUAAGGUAGCGAAAUUCCUUGUCGGGUAAGUUCCGACCUGCACGAAUGGCGUAAUGAUGGCCAGGCUGUCUCCACCCGAGACUCAGUGAAAUUGAACUCGCUGUGAAGAUGCAGUGUACCCGCGGCAAGACGGAAAGACCCCGUGAACCUUUACUAUAGCUUGACACUGAACAUUGAGCCUUGAUGUGUAGGAUAGGUGGGAGGCUUUGAAGUGUGGACGCCAGUCUGC